GGAAGUGUGGCUAAAAAUUCAAAUAUAUGGAAGGCUGGUUAAACCGUUUGGUUUUCGACCACUAGGACCCGGGUUCGAUUCCCGCAUUGGACACUUUUU